rnacentral:rRNA from 1 species
GUCCCGUAACGAGCGCAACCCUUGUCCUUAGUUACCAGCACGGUUAUGGUGGGCACUCUAAGGAGACUGACCGGUGACAAACCGGAGGAAGGUGGGGAUGACGUCAAGUCAUCAUGGCCCGUUACGGCCUGGGCUACACACGUGCUACAAUGGUCGGUACAAAGGGUUGCCAAGCCGCGAGGUGGAGCUAAUACCCAUAAAACCGAUCGUAGUCCGGAUCGCAGUCUGCAACUCGACUGCGUGAAGUCGGAAUCGCUAGUAAUCGUGAAUCAGAAUGUCACGGUGAAUACGUUCCCGGGCCUU